CACCACUGUAUAUUGGAAAUAUAUAACUUUUUUUUUUUUAAUUUUACAGGAGUUCACAAUUGAAAGAGUUUGCCUUGAGUCUCAGAGGAGACAUUGGACUUGGAGUUUUGAGCAAUACAGGAAUGUAAGACCCUGAGACUCUGGGGAAUAGAAUUAAUACAUUUUGCAUUGUGAGAUAGACAUGAGUCCUUGGAGACCAGGAGUGAAAUGUUAUGGUUUAAAUGUGGUUGAGUGUCUGCCAAGAGUCCAUUGUGAUUGAAUACUUGGUCUAAAGGUUGAUGCUAUUGGGAGAUGAUGGAUCCUUUGGGGGGUUCGGGAGGUCCUUGGGUCACUAUGGGCAUGGGGUAUUUCUCAUGCAACCCCAUCAAUAAUUUUCACAAGAGGGUUGUUAUAAAAGAAGGAAGCCUGGACUCACCCAUUCUCUUUCUCUUUGCUCAUGCUUGAGAUAUGACAGCUGGCUCCUGUAUGUAUUUAUUCCUACCAUGAUAUGCCACCAUUUGUAACCUUAACCAGAGGCCAAACUUAAUGGGGGUCACACAAUCUUGGACUUUGUGCCUCCCUAAAUAUAAAUUAAAUAAACCUUUUUUUCUUUAUAAAGUUACCUGCCUCAGGUAUUCUGUUAAUAAUGAUGAAAAUAUGACUAAUAAAACUGGACAUAUAAAUGUACAGGAAUAAAACUGAACACAUAUCUCUCACUUAGAUACAAAUAUUAAUACAAAAUUGAUCAACAAUUUAACAAAGACCUG
rnacentral:lncRNA from 1 species